rnacentral:tRNA from 1 species
GGGGAGGUAUCCUAACCUGGUAGGGAGCUAGUCUGGAAAGCUAGUGGCGUACUGCCAUGGGAGUUCGAUUCUCCCCCUCCCCG